UACGGAGGGGGCUAGCGUUGUUCGGAAUUACUGGGCGUAAAGCGCGCGUAGGCGGCUUUGUAAGUUAGAGGUGAAAGCCCGGAGCUCAACUCCGGAACUGCCUUUAAGACUGCAUCGCUAGAAUUGUGGAGAGGUGAGUGGAAUUCCGAGUGUAGAGGUGAAAUUCGUAGAUAUUCGGAAGAACACCAGUGGCGAAGGCGGCUCACUGGACCGGUAUUGACGCUGAUGUGCGAAAGCGUGGGGAGCAAACAGG
rnacentral:rRNA from 1 species